AUUUUUUUCAGCAGCACAUACUAAAAUUGGAAUAAUACAGAGAAGACUACUGUGGCCCUUAUGCAAGGAUGACACACAAAAGUGUUGGGUGUGUCAUAAAGAG